AGUGAACGCUGGCGGUAGGCCUAACACAUGCAAGUCGAACGGCAGCACAGUAAGAGCUUGCUCUUACGGGUGGCGAGUGGCGGACGGGUGAGGAAUACAUCGGAAUCUACUUUUUCGUGGGGGAUAACGUAGGGAAACUUACGCUAAUACCGCAUACGACCUACGGGUGAAAGCAGGGGAUCUUCGGACCUUGCGCGAUUGAAUGAGCCGAUGUCGGAUUAGCUAGUUGGCGGGGUAAAGGCCCACCAAGGCGACGAUCCGUAGCUGGUCUGAGAGGAUGAUCAGCCACACUGGAACCGAGACACGGCCCAGACUCCUACGGGAGGCAGCAGUGGGGAAUAUUGGACAAUGGGCGCAAGCCUGAUCCAGCCAUACCGCGUGGGUGAAGAAGGCCUUCGGGUUGUAAAGCCCUUUUGUUGGGAAAGAAAAGCAGCAGGUUAAUACCCCGCUGUUCUGACGGUACCCAAAGAAUAAGCACCGGCUAACUUCGUG
rnacentral:rRNA from 1 species